AUAAAGCUCCUGCAACAAUGCCUGGCUCAGAUGGGCACUCUAUUUGACAGCCAAUGAAAUACAGACCUAAAUAAAAUGAAGCACAGAGCUUAACUAACCUUGAAGACGGGUCUUCAGAUUGCUCCACUAUAACACGUGAGGCUAAGGUUUUCCAAAGUUUUGAAAGAAAACGCAGCCAACAGGACCAGCACCUGAAAGAUGAGCAUCGGUGAGUUACUAUGAAGAGGGGACGAUGGCUACAUAUUGGCAAUGUGAGGCCAAAGCACUGGCUCUGGAGACACAAAGUCGGCACUUCUCUGUAAAGAGUCACCAGUUCAAGGGACAGGAGGACUAUGGAAAGGAAAAGCCAAAUAUUCUCACAAGUCCCAUUCAUCUCACUUUUUUAAAAAACUCAUUAACAUGUUUUUGUGAACAGUAGUAUGUCUGAGGUAUCUAUGAUAUUAACAAGCCAGAUUGGUGUCAACUUGAAAAUAGU